rnacentral:lncRNA from 1 species
CAAGUCCAAAAAAUUUCUGUUAUAUUUUAUUUAUUUAUUUAUAUAUUUAUUUAUUUUUUUAUUUUUAUUUUUUUCGUUUUUCGUUUUUCGUUUUUUUUUAAACACGUGGGCUUCGCCUAGCGAGCAUGACAGUUCAAGAAAUUCCUCUGAGCGUAGGUGAUUCUGGUGGCUUUUCUUGGGACUCGCUAGGCGACCCAUUCUGCUCGCCUAGUGAGCAUGACAGCUCAU